rnacentral:tRNA from 1 species
GUUCGUUAGGUCAACUGAAUAGAGCAUCUGACUACGGAUCAGAAGGUUGCAGGUUUGAAUCCUGCACGAAUCA